rnacentral:rRNA from 1 species
CUUCUGGAAGGGCUGUAUUUAUUAGAUUAAAAACCAAUCGUAGCAAUACGUUUACUGGUGAAUCAUGAUAACUUUUCGAAUCGCAUAGCUUAGCUGGCGAUGGUUCAAUCAAAUUUCUGCCCUAUCACCUUUCGAUGGUAGUAUAGAGGACUACCAUGGGCGCAACGGGUAACGGAGAAUUAGGGUUCGAUUCCGGAGAGGGAGCCUGAGAAACGGCUACCACAUCCAAGGAAGGCAGCAGGCGCGCAAAUUACCCAAUUCCGAUACGGAGAGGUAGUGACAAUAAAUAACAAUACAGAGCUUUAUAGUUUUGUAAUUGUAAUGAGAACAAUUUAAACCUCUUAACGAGAACCAAUUGGAGGGCAAGUCUGGUGCCAGCAGCCGCGGUAAUUCCAGCUCCAAUAGCGUAUAUUAAAGUUGUUGCAGUUAAAACGCUCGUAGUUGAACUUUGGUCUUGGCUGGGCGGUCUUGGCGAAUGCCUUGUACUUCUCUGGCUGAGACUUUCCUUCUGGCGAACUAUUGUGCUAUUUAUUUAGUGCGAUUGGGAACCAGGACUUUUACUUUGAAAAAAUUAGAGUGUUUAAAGCAGGCGUCUGCCCGUAUACAUUAGCAUGGAAUAAUAAAAUAGGACUUUGGUUUUAUUUUGUUGGUUUUCGAAACCGAAGUAAUGAUUAAUAGGGAUAGUUGGGGGCGUUACUAUUUCGGAGUCAGAGGUGAAAUUCUUGGAUUUCCGAAAGAGUAUCUACUGCGAAGGCAUUCGCCAAGGAUGUUUUCAUUAAUCAAGAACGAAAGUUGGGGGAUCGAAGACGACCAGAUACCGUCGUAGUCUCAACAGUAAACUAUGCCGACUUGGGAUCGGACAAUGUUCAGUUUUGACUUGUUCGGCACCACAUGAGAAAUCAAAGUUUUUAGGUUCCGGGGGGAGUAUGGUCGCAAGGCUGAAACUUAAAGGAAUUGACGGAAGGGCACCACCAGGAGUGGAGCCUGCGGCUUAAUUUGACACAACACGGGGAAACUCACCAGGUCCAGACAAAAUAAGGAUUGACAGAUUGAGAGCUCUUUCUUGAUUUUUGGGUGGUGGUGCAUGGCCGUUCUUAGUUGGUGGAGUGAUUUGUCUGGUUAAUUCCGUUAACGAACGAGACCUUAACCUGCUAAAUAGUUGCAUUCACUUUGGUGGAUGAUCAACUUCUUAGAGGGACUAUAGACGUUCAGUCUAUGGAAGUUUGAGGCAAUAACAGGUCUGUGACGCCCUUAGAUGUUCUGGGCCGCACGCGCGCUACACUGACAACAGCAGCAAGUAAUUCACCUUGGCCGGAAGGUCUGGGUAAUCUUCUGAAAUGUUGUCGUGCUGGGGAUAGUCCUUUGCAAUUAUUGGACUUCAACGGGGAAUUCCUAGUAAGCGUGAGUCAUCAGCUCGCGUUGAUUACGUCCCUGCCCUUUGUACACACCGCCCGUCGCUAGUACCGAUUGAAUGGCUUAGUGAGACCCUCGGAUUAGCGGUUCUAAGGUGGCAACACCUUUAAACUGCCGAGAAGUUGGUCAAACUUGGUCAUUUAGAGGAACUAAAAGUCGUAACAAGGUA